CACGCCCGGCUGAUUUUUUGUAUUUUUAGUAGAGAUGGGUUCCUUGGAGGUAAGAGAGGUUGAUGAUGGCAGAUUCUCAGAGACCUAAGGCAAAAUCAUUUCUAGCAGUUUGAACUCCCUUUAGUCCAAUGGGGGAGGCAGUCCCUCCCUUUGGAAUAAGCUCCCCGGGUUGCCUCUCGCUUUGAUGCCCCUCACUCUGUAGGAGACCUCAGUCUUAGAGUUGCGCUCUCGAAGCCUCUGUUUGUGAGCCCAAUUCAGGAAAGGGUGGGGCUUCACU
rnacentral:lncRNA from 10 species